UAACACUUUCAAUUUGAUUUACAGAUUGUGAUCUUUGAUAAAAGGCUCCAAGAACUCAUCAAGAAGACGAUGGAGAUCUUUCUUGCAAGAGUGUCUUAAGGAGGAACUGUAUUGUGCUUACUGGUUGAUCGAGUUCUGCACAGUUGGUGUUUUUACAUUGAUCAAGACUGCUUUCAAUUUGCUGGAGAUUGGUUAUCCUGUUGGGAUUACCG
rnacentral:lncRNA from 1 species